GCCAGAGGGAUGGAGAGAGAGAGGAGAGCAAAGCCCGGGUCAGCUAUCUGCCCCUGCAGAUCUGAGUCUCAGCUGGAGCCCUGGACAAGAGGGAGCUCAAUCACUCGGCAUCAUCAUGAGUGUCUAGAUUGGAGAUUGACCAUCUGGGACAGGAUGCUGGGAGCUGAAAGACACAGAACACUCAUGAGCAAGGAAGAAAAAAGCCCAGAGAGCUAAAGCAACAGCUAACACCAGGGAUGGAGAACCUCUCUGGGUGGUCCAGGCCUUCCCCUCAAGAUCCCGAUCUGACUGCAGCAGUUCCGAGCUCACAGCUUCCUGUGCUAGUGUCAAAAGACAGAAGAGACAAGCACGGUCUUGUGUCUCACUUUGAGAGGGAGGAACAACUUCCUGGGAGUCCAAAAGCCUGAUUUGCCUGUGGGCAGAGCUGUACUAUAAGCUCCUGCUUAAUAAGGCAAACACCGCCCCCGGGAAUGGUUCAAACCCACCGGCCUUCAUCCUCAGGACUGGGGAGGAGCCCACAAAGUAAACAAGUAUUUAACCAAAACACUCCAGGUUAUCUGAGCAGAAAAGUGGGGGCCACUUUUCUGAGUAUUAGGCAUGCUGAGAAAAGCUGGACCCACCUUGCUGUUUGUCCUCAGUUAAACGACUAUCCUGAGUGCUCUGAGAGCAGCCUUGGGGCCAGGCAGCACUUCGGGCAAGGAAAAAGGCUCAGAAAUUCAAAAGGGAGAGAUUGCUUUGGCUUAAUUAACAGGAAAUAAAGGCAGGCAUUUUUUAUCUUUGGUGGGCUCCUUUUCUUUUUGGCUACUCUGAAUUAAUAGGUUUAAGACAUUACGUUUAGUUGAAUUUCUUUCCACUAAACUUGCCACCAGAAAGGGAGAAAAUGAUGGCUUUUAACAAUGGUUAUAAAGGGACAGAUGGUUAGGUCAAGCGAGGACUGUGACCGCACCAGCAAAGCCUGUAAGAACUCAUUCCUUAGUCCUUCUUACGGCUGUCCGCUCU
rnacentral:lncRNA from 1 species